rnacentral:ncRNA from 3 species
ACCAACCUGGAGGACUCCAUGCUGU